GGGAAACGUGGGUCCAAUACCGGAUAGUAGCCGCCUUUAGUGUGGUGGUUGGAAAGUUUUUUCGGUGCAAGAUGAGCUCGCGGCCUAUCAGCUUGUUGGUGGGGUAAUGGCCUACCAAGGCGUCGACGGGUAGCCGGCCUGAGAGGGUGUACGGCCACAUUGGGACUGAGAUACGGCCCAG
rnacentral:rRNA from 1 species